rnacentral:rRNA from 1 species
GACGAACGCUGGCGGCGUGCCUAAUACAUGCAAGUCGAACGAGAGCGACCGGUGCUUGCACUGGUCAAUCUAGUGGCGAACGGGUGAGUAACACGUGGGUAACCUGCCCAUCAGAGGGGGAUAACAUCCGGAAACGGAUGCUAAAACCGCAUAGGUCUUCGAACCGCAUGGUUUGAAGAGGAAAAGAGGCGCAAGCUUCUGCUGAUGGAUGGACCCGCGGUGCAUUAGCUAGUUGGUGAGGUAACGGCUCACCAAGGCCGUGAUGCAUAGCCGACCUGAGAGGGUGAUCGGCCACAUUGGGACUGAGACACGGCCCAACCUCCUACGGGAGGCAGCAGUAGGGAAUCUUCCGCAAUGGACGCAAGUCUGACGGAGCAACGCCGCGUGAGUGAAGAAGGUUUUCGGAUCGUAAAACUCUGUUGUUAGAGAAGAACAAGUGCUAGAGUAACUGUUAGCGCCUUGACGGUAUCUAACCAGAAAGCCACGGCUAACUACGUG